UAGGGAAUCUUCGGCAAUGGGGGGAACCCUGACCGAGCAACGCCGCGUGAGUGAAGAAGGUUUUCGGAUCGUAAAGCUCUGUUGUUAAGGAAGAACGAGUGUGAGAAUGGAAAGUUCAUACUGUGACGGUACUUAACCAGAAAGGGACGGCUAACUACGUGCCAGCAGCCGCGGUAAUACGUAGGUCCCGAGCGUUGUCCGGAUUUAUUGGACGUAAAGCGAGCGCAGGCGGUUAGAUAAGUCUGAAGUUAAAGGCAGUGGCUCAACCAUUGUAGGCUUUGGAAACUGUUUAACUUGAGUGCAGAAGGGGAGAGUGGAAUUCCAUGUGUAGCGGUGAAAUGCGUAGAUAUAUGGAGGAACACCGGUGGCGAAAGCGGCUCUCUGGUCUGUAACUGACGCUGAGGCUCGAAAGCGUGGGGAGCGAACAGG
rnacentral:rRNA from 1 species